GGGCGCGUAGCUCAGUUGGUUAGAGCGCUUCAUUCACAUUGAAGAGGUCGUGGGUUCGAGUCCCUCCGCGCCCA
rnacentral:tRNA from 1 species